UGACACCAAAUUUUCUCUUUCUCUCUAAAACUCAAACCAUAAGCAACUCAACAAUAAGACUGUCUACAAUACUGUACACCAACUGUAGUGUAAAUUGAAAGAGUAUACAGUACAGAUUAAAAUCGAAAUUAUACAAAACAAAAUGUAAAUGUGUGGUUGAUUGAGGGUCUCCGUGGCUCAGACAGGUUUUACAGAUGCACAGUCCCAAUAACUCCACACUCUGGGGAUCCGGGUGGACGACACAGGCUGUGCCACAGGCGCUGUGGGCCGCCUGAGAAAGGAAAUUAAUUCCUCUUUGAGAGAAAAUUACUUUAACAGAUAGCAUGGCGGGGGCAGGCUGUAACUUUGCCGCUGUUGUCCCCCCCCCUCAACACCACCAGUCCCUCCAAAGCCUCCGAAGGCAGCAGAGGCAGCGCAGCAGAGGAAAAGCACCUUAGCUCUCCACACUCUGACCUGAGGAGCUGAAGGUGCUGCAGCCAGCCCUCUCUGAGGUCACAGGAGGUGCAGUGUGCAGCAGGAGAACAGUGCCCUCUACUGUUGCCGUGGUGACGGGGCAGUGUGCAGGAGGCAGAGCAGGGUUUGGUCCAAGCUCGCUGGGACUGAAGAGGAGGCGGCGGUUUGGACGGGAUGGACUGCAUUCAGUUCCAGGGCUUUCCAGAACCUCCCAGGGGCUUCAUUAAAACAAAAGGAGGGGGAGGAGGAGGGGGAGGUGGGACUUCCUGUUGGAAUGUAGCAGACCAACCAUGACCCCAUAGGAACUGCAACUUUUAAUGUGGACAGAAGGUCCACAGUAACACUACAAUAAUAUCCAUGUGUAUCCAUUACAGACAUUCUCCAUUAUGCAACAGUGCUGCAACGGCCUGUGUUGUCUUCUCUGGGCAAGUUACUGCAACACUAACCUGCUGUCAGAAUCAUCUUCAAUUCACGUUAUCAACGACCUCUACAGGUGAACACAGGGUACUGCAGUAACCAGUGAUGGGGGGUGGGGGGGGGGGUUACAUGCUAUAAAUUAAUGGGUUACAGUACACGGACUACUUUUUUGUUGACGUGAGUAACGUAACGCAUUAGUUUUGCCAUUCAAGUAAUCAUCUGUUAGUUACAUUUUCAAAUAAGCAAACAGUUACUGUUCCAUCGAAACCAAUAUGGAAAUCCACACACAGUCUAUUUCUUUCCUGCCACUUAACUGCAUACUAGUCGAAGGUAUCCCAUCCUACAGUGUGUCAGUGCGCUAGUGUAGCUCAGCUAGCCAGAUGUCAGAGAGGACGGCCAUUAUGUGAAAAGAAAAAGAACAUCACCCUGAAAUGUAAACUGGCCUUGGGUGAUAAGUGUCUGUCAGCUGCAAAGAACUCUUCUUCAAAUUUGCGAGCUAACGCACAGCUCAACAACACUGUUAAUGAGGCCUGUUGAAUAAACAGGCUUUUGUUUAGUUUGGCUAAAGCCGUCACUCCAGAGGUAAUACAGAAGUACUCUGAUGAGUUACUUUUCUCAGUGGGUAACUAAUGUUAAAAGUAACGUUACCCAACACUGGCAUUAACACCAGUGAAGCUUAAUCAGUCUAAAGCUAUGGUCACAUGACAGUUCUUUUGUACCAGUGUUUACUCCAUCUCCAUUUCAAGACAGACCAAGCCUGUCUUUCCUGUUUCAGUGCGAUCUCUGGACAAAAUGGCCAUUGUUGUGAUAACUUUGAGUUGUAAAUGUAUUCCAUAGAAUUAUAAACUGUUGUGCAGCUUCUAGUGUAAGUAAGGUAAGUCUAGGUAAGUCUUCAAACUCCUGGAUUUAUCACUCAGACUGACCCCCAUAGAUCAUACCUCUCAGGAUCUGACCUGGAUUUGCAUCCUGAGUCUUGCAUGUGGUUUGUUUUAGGUAUCAGAAGCACUUUGGUUAAGGUUGGGGAAAGACCGUGGUUUUGGUUGCAUGUUUAAUACAGUAAACCAGUCUCAUGCUUCAACUCACUGAUUAAAACAUUUUGCAGAUUUGUUCAGUAUCAACAUGCAGCGACUUGCCAGAUACAUUAAUAAAAAAAGUUUCAACAUCAUGUUGAUAAAAAACAGAAUUUAGACUGUAUUAAGUUUCCUUCCUUUGCUGUUUAGUAGAACAGUGGCAUCUAAAUGUAAUUUGUAGAAAGCAGGUUUGGAGCUGUAACCAAAACAAUGAGCUGAAAAACACAAAAAUGCUGUGGUGAUAAUUCUCUUCAGGUUCAUCACUAUUUAACAAACCUUUCCACAUCACACCUAGUUGUUUGAAUCUUUGUUAAAAAAAAGUUACUCAUUGAUUAGUGCAGCUUUAAGUUUGAAGUUAUUACUGCAGGGUUUGGAUAUAUUUUCUUAAAACUCUGUGCCCCAACAUGAUAAUAAAUAAACUUGCGAACAACAGUAAAAAUGACCUAUAAAAUAUCAAAUGCUUUUAAAAACACUUACUCACACACACUUAGAUUUUUUGCACUGUGUGUUUAUGCUAGCUGGUUAAGCAAUUAAAAGUUUUAGGGAUCAUUAGCAGCCAAAGACACUCGUUAGUGAGGUCGUCCAUGUUUUGAUGUCCUUCACUAUUGAGCAUGACAACUGGAUAAUGAGUAGCUUAUGGGAGGAUUGGAAAGCUUCAUGAUAACUGUUUUGUUCCAAAACAGAGAACGGGCCAGAAAGUGAGAGCCAAAAAUAUCAACACGGAAAUGUAAUCCAUGAGUCACUGGUGAUAAUAAACAAACUUAUCAGCUUUAUGCAGAUAUUUCUUGAAUUCUGUGACAGACAAUGGUACCUACUACUGCACAAAAGCUGAGCUGAAUUUCAGAGUGACCAACAUAAAAUGACUCUAUGUGAAGAUGCAAAGGGUGAAAGGAGGAGAAGAGACAGUGAGAAAGGGAAAAAGAGAGCAGCACCUGGGGUUCGACAGUUACAUUACUGCAGUUCAUCAUCCAACAGGAAACAAUAGGGAUGUUGUCAGUCUGAAGCAACAGACUCGCUCAGGAACCAGUGUGGGACGACUGCCACUUGGAUCAGAGAUUGUUUUCCAUAAAACUGAUUUACUGUUCAAUUUUUAGGCUUUCAGAUGAGAGUCUUAUCCUGUGCAACCUAGAGGUGUAACAAGAAAAAUAAAAAAGCUCCCCGGUCACAAAAAUUAAACGCAGUAAGUGUCAGAGUUUCAUCCACUGUGACUGAGAAUAUUCAUAUAACAGAGAAAACAGGGAAUAUUGUUUUCACUGACGUACAGGAGUCAUUGUGGGAAUCAUAAUCGUACAUUCAUGACAGUAAAUCUUUGCUAUAAAACUGCCAGAUUAUAGGAGUUAUUCUCUGAUCUUCAGCAAGCAUUCAGUAAUUUCAUGUCACUAAAAGAUCCCAUAUGUUUAUAAAAUACCUUAACUGUUCAUAAAAUGGACUUAACAUUAACAAAUCAGGAAAGUGGAUUGAUUUAGAAAUCUGCUGUGAAAUCAUCUUCUUAUUUUAGAAAAUAUUGCACCUUUUAACAAAGAGUUGAAUAAAAACUUUCAUUAUUGUGAUCUUGGCUCUGUUAUCAAUGUUCUGUGAGGUGAAUAAAUAAACCCUGAAUAAAUAAA